GAUGAAGAACGUAGCGAAAUGCGAUAAGUAAUGUGAAUUGCAGAAUUCAGUGAAUCAUCGAAUCUUUGAACGCACAUUGCGCCCGCCAGUAUUCUGGCGGGCAUGCCUGUUCGAGCGUCAUUUCAACCAUCAAGCCUCAGGCUUGUGUUGGAGCCCUGCGGCUGCCGCAGCCUCCCAAAACCAGUGGCGGGCUCGCUAUCACACCGAGUGCAGUAGUUUACUCUUCGCUCAGGGCGUGUGGCGGGUGCUAGCCGUGAAACCCCCAACUUCUCAAGGUUGACCUCGGAUCAGGUAGGAAUACCCGCUGAACUUAAGCAUAUCAUAAGCGGAGGA
rnacentral:misc_RNA from 1 species